AAGCGCUUGCAACCAGACUUGCACGCAGUUGAUCAUCCGGUGUUCUCACCGGGGCACUCUGCUGCGUUCAGGCCAGCAUCGGUUUCGGUGGUUGGAUAAAGGCCUUGGGAAUGUGGCUUCCUUCGGGGAGUGUUAUAGCCCACCGUGUAAUACCCUGGGGGGGACUGAGGUUCGCGCAUCUGCAAGGAUGCUGGCGUAAUGGU
rnacentral:rRNA from 1 species